rnacentral:rRNA from 1 species
GAUGAACGCUGGCGGCGUGCUUAACACAUGCAAGUCGAACGAAGCAUUUUGAAAAGCUUGCUUUUUGAAAUGACUGAGUGGCGGACGGGUGAGUAACGCGUGGGUAACCUGCCUUAUACAGGGGGAUAACAGUUAGAAAUGACUGCUAAUACCGCAUAAGCGCACAGUACUGCAUGGUACAGUGUGAAAAACUCCGGUGGUAUAAGAUGGACCCGCGUCUGAUUAGCUAGUUGGUGAGGUAACGGCUCACCAAGGCGACGAUCAGUAGCCGACUUGAGAGAGUGAUCGGCCACAUUGGGACUGAGACACGGCCCAAACUCCUAACGGGAGGCAGCAGUGGGGAAUAUUGCACAAUGGGGGAAACCCUGAUGCAGCGACGCCGCGUGAGUGAUGAAGUAUUUCGGAUGUAAAACUCUAUCAGCAGGGANAUAAUGACGGUACCUGACUAAAGAAGCUCCGGCUAAAUACGUGCCAGCAGCCGA